GCGGUGCUGGUCGAGCCGCAGCCCACGCCGCUGGCGUCGGUGCUCGGCGAGCAGAUCGGCGAGCUGGUCACCCGGCUGCACCGCGCC
rnacentral:tRNA from 2 species